GGUCGGGCUGGCGCGGGUUGAAGUGCUGGUUGAUGGCCGCUCGAUCGGUGACGCGCGUUACGGGCGCGUGUUCGACAUUCGCCCCGCCUG
rnacentral:tRNA from 1 species